UACGGAGGGUGCAAGCGUUAUCCGGAUUCACUGGGUUUAAAGGGUGCGUAGGUGGGUUGGUAAGUCAGUGGUGAAAUCUCCGAGCUUAACUUGGAAACUGCCAUUGAUACUAUCAGUCUUGAAUACCGUGGAGGUCGGCGGAAUAUGUCAUGUAGCGGUGAAAUGCUUAGAUAUGACAUAGAACACCAAUUGCGAAGGCAGCUGACUACGCGAGUAUUGACACUGAGGCACGAAAGCGUGGGGAUCAAACAGG
rnacentral:rRNA from 1 species